rnacentral:rRNA from 1 species
GUACACUCCUGCGGGAGGCAGCAGUGGGGAAUAUUGGACAAUGGGCGCAAGCCUGAUCCAGCCAUGCCGCGUGAGUGAUGAAGGCUCUAGGGUUGUAAAGCUCUUUCACCGGUGAAGAUAAUGACGGUAACCGGAGAAGAAGCCCCGGCUAACUUCGUGCCAGCAGCCGCGGUAAUACGAAGGGGGCUAGCGUUGUUCGGAUUUACUGGGCGUAAAGCGCACGUAGGCGGACUAUUAAGUCAGGGGUGAAAUCCCGGGGCUCAACCCCGGAACUGCCUUUGAUACUGGUAGUCUUGAGUUCGAGAGAGGUGAGUGGAAUUCCGAGUGUAGAGGUGAAAUUCGUAGAUAUUCGGAGGAACACCAGUGGCGAAGGCGGCUCACUGGCUCGAUACUGACGCUGAGGUGCGAAAGCGUGGGGAGCAAACAGGAUUAGAAACCCGAGUAGUCCCA